GGUUUGCUGCGGUGUGCGUGAUACACAAAAUUUAUCCCGGAGGCCGAUGCUUUUCGCAUAGGGAACUGUCCCUGACCUUAUCCACUCUCCCGCCUUUGAGCGGUAUACGGCAUUGGGGAUUUGGUUAUUACGGUGCCCACCUGGUUACCAGGGCCCCAUGCGGAUAUCAACGUUGUACACGGCACUUGCGGCGCCCAC
rnacentral:other from 1 species